AAUAGAUACCCUGGUAGUCCACGCCGUAAACGAUGAGUGCUAAGUGUUAGAGGGUUUCCGCCCUUUAGUGCUGCAGCAAACGCAUUAAGCACUCCGCCUGGGGAGUACGGUCGCAAGACUGAAACUCAAAGGAAUUGACGGGGGCCCGCACAAGCGGUGGAGCAUGUGGUUUAAUUCGAAGCAACGCGAAGAACCUUACCAGGUCUUGACAUCCUUAUGCCAUCUCUAGAGAUAGAGCUUUCCCUUCGGGGACAUAAGUGACAGGUGGUGCAUGGUUGUCGUCAGCUCGUGUCGUGAGAUGUUGGGUUAAGUCCCGCAACGAGCGCAACCCUUGAUCUUAGUUGCCAGCAUUAAGUUGGGCACUCUAAGGUGACUGCCGGUGACAAACCGGAGGAAGGUGGGGAUGACGUCAAAUCAUCAUGCCCCUUAUGACCUGGGCUACACACGUGCUACAAUGGAUGGUACAAAGGGCAGCAAAACCGCGAGGUUAAGCCAAUCCCAUAAAACCAUUCUCAGUUCGGAUUGCAGG
rnacentral:rRNA from 1 species